rnacentral:rRNA from 1 species
UACGUAGGGACCGAGCGUUGUCCGGAUUCAUUGGGCGUAAAGAGCUCGUAGGCGGCCACUCAAGUCGAAUGUGAAACCUCGAGGCUUAACCUCGAGCCUGCAUUCGAUACUGGGCGGCUAGAGUCUGGUAGGGGGAUCUGGAAUUCCUGGUGUAGCGGUGGAAUGCGCAGAUAUCGGGAGGAACACCGGUGGCGAAGGCGGCGACCUGGGUCGAUACUGACGCUGAGGUGCGAAAGCGUGGGGAGCAAACAGG